rnacentral:rRNA from 1 species
GCGUGCCUAACACAUGCAAGUCGUACGAGAAAGUGGAGCAAUCCAUGAGUAAAGUGGCGACCGGGUGAGUAACACGUGACUACCUACCCUCGAGUGGGGGAUAACUCCGGGAAACCGGAGCUAAUACCGCAUAACAUCGCAAGAUCAAAGCAGCAAUGCGCUGGAGGAGGGGGUCGCGGCUGAUUAGCUAGUUGGCGGGGUAACGGCCCACCAAGGCGAAGAUCGGUAUCCGGCCUGAGAGGGCGCACGGACACACUGGAACUGAAACACGGUCCAGACUCCUACGGGAGGCAGCAGUGGGGAAUUUUGCGCAAUGGGGGAAACCCUGACGCAGCAACGCCGCGUGGAGGAUGAAGUCCCUUGGGACGUAAACUCUUUUCGACCAAGACGAUAAUGACGGUACUGGUGGAAGAAGCACCGGCUAACACUGUGCCAGCAGCCGCGGUAAUACAGAGGGUGCAAGCGUUGUUCGGAAUUAUUGGGCGUAAAGGG